UGGAUUGUUGUAGACUUCUAUAACUGUGUUAAAGUUCUGAAUCUCCUCCAGAGGUCGUGUUGUUCUGUUGGCAAAAGGAAAGCGGGAAAACACAGAAUUGCACAACUAAAUAAAAAACAUGCACAGUUGAACAAACAGUACUCAGUUGAAAAAGAGCAUGAAUGCAGUAAGUGUUGUAAAUAAGUGCACAUAUUUAUAGUGCAAAAGAGAGUCAGAAGCAUCUAUCAUGCCAGUUGCUGAUACUUCAAAAUAAAAUUAAGAUAACUGAGAUGGAAACUUAAGCACAUUAUGAUACAAGUAGGAUGAUGGACAUUUUUUAAGGCCCUGUAAUUCUUCAUCUGUUUACCACCAAUGUUACUCACCCUCUCGCUGUCUGAUGUGUUCAGAGGCCUGGUUUGCAGAAAUAUAUUUCCCAUAUAUUCUUCAAUAGACAUUACAAAAAAAACAAUGUAGUCUUUGGAUUUGAACCAACCCAACCUCUCCUACAUGAAUCACAACUUUGCAACAAUAACCAAUGAAUGACUGCUGGUGCCAGACUGGGUGGUUUGAGUAUUUCACAAAAUGGAUUUUCACAAAAGAGUCUAGAGUUUAAUACAGAAAUAAAAACCAUCUAGUGGGCAGCUCUGUAAAAGAAAUGAUAUGAGAAGAUUUAGAGGAGAAUGCCCAGACCAAUGUGCACUAGAACAUCUCUGAAUGGACCAUACGCAUCCAUUAGAGCCACAGUCAAACCCAUAUUCUUGCAGUAUCUAUGGCUUUUUAUAAUAUAACACUGCAUGUUGCACCAUGACUCAGACAGGAAUAACUAAUGACACUAAAUAAUAUUUAGAGCUGCACAUUGACUGUCAUUAAAGCGACUAGUGUGCCACCUAACCACAGAAUAAAUGUCAGUAUCACACAGCAAGUUUUGAUGGAGGCUUGUCUCACUAAAUGAGACCCUGAAAGAGGCGUAUAUCAAAUGCAUCGCUACACACUCAACAUAAAAAAACAUUCAGUGACCAAUUUCUGUACAUAAUCAGUAAACAUUUCUCUCCUUAUUAACGCUUAAAAUGAGCAAGUUGGAAUGGAUAGGACGCUUGAAAAACAUGGUGAAGAAGAGCCCUUUAUAUUCAAAUUUCAUCAUCGGCUUUGUGAUGCUUGGACUUGAGCAACUUGUGGAGAUAGACUUUGCAUGCCCUUGUAAUCCAAAGCUGAAUCUGCUGUUUUCAAUGGCAUAUUUUGUAGUUCCAGCUCUGUUCUCUUUCGCACUUUUGUUUUAUAUCCAAAGCUCACAAAUCAGCAAUUAUUCAAGCUGUUUGCACUGUGCUUUAGUUUGUCUCGUGCCAGCCGUUCUCUGGAUCAUGCUGCUGUUCUUUGAUGGACAAUACUUUGCCUGUGCAAAGACUUCAUGGGAUGGACUGACGGUUCACACGGAUAUAACGGCUUCAACAACGUGGUGUCAGCCUUUAGUCACACCUGACAACACCACAGAAAAGCAAAUGGCAUUUUUUAGCUAUCGAAAUAAUUCUCAGAUAGUGGGACUGUGCAUACUGCUCCUGAUGUCACUGCCUCUGAUUUGGAUGGGCAUUAGGAAAUGGCAAUACACACCAACAAGAACCAAAGAACUUGAGAAUGAACAAAUAGAAAUGGUGGAUUUGAGCCCAUCACCCCCUCCUGACAGUGCUUCUACAAUUGUGGAUCACAGUAGAGAUGAUUUUUAACAGCGCUGACUUCAUUUUUAUAUAAAUCACAAUCCUGUCACCAGCACUCCAUAUGUCCUGGGCAUCGGCGAAUGUUGAGGGCUUUCAAAAGGGCUAUUCAGAGGACUGCAAUCCACUCCUCCAAUGGAGGGCAUAUAAGCAUGAUGCAGAAUGGGCAACUGCAGAGACAGCCUGCGCUGAAUGCUGUGGAAAAAAACAGAUCCAAUCUGGAAUUUUUUGAAAAUUCUUUUCAAAACAAACUUUAAGGAAACUGCACACGUUCAAAUUUCUGCUCACUGUUAAAGGACUGAUAACGAUAUAUGAAACGUACAGUUCAGGGGAGUUAAUGUCCUCCAACAGAUUCCUGUUACAGUUGGAGCUUUCAGGGAGAGUCAGACAUUUCUCCUUGACUGAAAAGACAAAAAGAAAACCAGUCAAAGCAACGUCUGAAUGAAGCUAAAUCCCUUUGAAUUCACAUUUGAUAAAUAAUUGAAUGAAUAUUGUACAAAGUAAGACCUGGAACUCUUGUUGAGUGCAACGGUGCAAUCAAUCUCUGAGGUCUAACAACAUAUUAAACUAAAUGUUUCAUUUUCAAGUAUGUACCAAAUGCUGGUUUGUAGGUAUUGACGAAACAUGGGAUUUGUGCCAUGGGAAGCCUUAAACCAUCAGCCCUUAAAUAAUGUGUU